UGAGGAAUAUUGGUCAAUGGGGGCAACCCUGAACCAGCCAAGUCGCGUGAAGGAUGAAGGUCUUAUGGAUUGUAAACUUCUUUUAUACAGGAAUAAAUUGGGGGACGUGUCCCCUUUUGCAUGUACUGUAUGAAUAAGGAUCGGCUAACUCCGUGCCAGCAGCCGCGGUAAUACGGAGGAUCCGAGCGUUAUCCGGAUUUAUUGGGUUUAAAGGGUGCGCAGGCGGGAUGUUAAGUCGGCGGUGAAAUUUUGCAGCUCAACUGUAAAAGUGCCUUCGAUACUGGCCUCCUUGAGUGUGGAUGAAGUAGGCUGAAUUUGUGGUGUAGCGGUGAAAUGCUUAGAUAUCACGAGGAACUCCGAUUGCGCAGGCAGCUUACUAAGCCACAACUGACGCUCAUGCACGAAGGCGUGGGGAUCAAAC
rnacentral:rRNA from 1 species